AUAUGAAACAUUUUAUUGAUACAAGUUAAACCCAGACAUAAGGAAGCAGUUUGAUAUUGCACAAUAUUUGAAAAAAAAUCGCAUGCAUCUGUUCAGCACAAUAUACUGCAUAAUGACAGCAAUCUUCCCUGUUUGUAUCUAUUCAUCUGAUUAUACAGCAGAACAAUUCUUUUUGCUACACAUUUAUUUACUAAAGGAUUUUUUUUUUAAUGGGUAAUAAAUUAGUAAAUCAGAUAUCAUGUGCUUGGGAAAAUGCGUUAGUUGACUCCCUACACACAAGAUAGUUGUAAUUCCUAUUUGAUGUGAUAGUCAGUGAUACUUGCAUAUACAGAUGAAGUUAUGUGCUUCCCUUCUGGCAAAGACAAAGGAAGUUUUAAAUCACUACUUAGUACUCUUGCAUCUGGGCACAUGUUAUUUGAAAAGCUUCAAUUUUUAACACUGCAAUGCAGCACUGAUGUAAUGAAGAGCUUUGACUUACUUGAAGUAUAACCCAGUGGCCUUCUUUUGAUGCUUUUUCCAUAGCUAUUUCUGCUACAGCUUCCUGUCCUUGACCCAUCAAUACGUUGUGAAGUUCUCCUGAGUCAAUGGUAAAUUCAGACUUGUUCCCUAAACAGAGCAAUAUACUGUACUACUUCAAGUCAAAUGAUGAUGUGUUUAAACAAACAUGUUUUCUACACACAGUGUUUAAAUGGCAUCAUUUGCAUGAGUCACUAAAGUAAAAAACACCUACCAGACCUCAAAAAUAUAGUUUCAAUAAAUCAGCUGAGCUAGGAUAUUCUACUGCUUUCUGCUGAGGUAUUCUGUAUUAGCAAAAUACUGCUGUGUCUGAAAACCAACCCAGAAUUCCUGCUAUUGGAAUCCCUACCUAUUGCCAAUAUAUAAAUAUUUCAGUGCACACCAAAGUGGAUGUAUUAGCAAUGUAUCUAAAGAAAAAAUAAGAAAUGAAAUUAAGGUAUCACUAAAGUUAACGUUACAUGCUGUCAGUACAAGAGGCUGAGCAGAAGUCCUGAGGGGGGCACGAGGAGGUGGGUGCUUUGGUCAGAGGAGGGAUACUGAGUUUUCAGCAUGUCCAGGCAGUGGGGUCUGAUCUCUUGCUCACGUGCACUUAGGGCAGGUUGGUGGCCUGUGCUAGUGAAAGGCAGGAGUGCAGACAAGCUACCUCCUGUUUCAGAAAGCAGGCAGUGUUCAGCCAGGCAGCUGCCCGAGUCAAGCCCUGCAGCUCUCAUCAGAUAGCGUGUGUUCAGAUGUGGUGUUGUCUGUGCCUUAACACGUGACAGCACCUGGGGUGAUGGGAAGGCCUCUCUUAUUUCUUUGGGUGUAGUAGUCAGAGUAUCUAAGACCAGUGGUGUUGCUAACUAACUUGGUAGAAGUCUCUUUUAUUUCAUGAUAAAUGCUGUGUUUUCUUAUAGAUGUGAGUAAAAGGUUCUAGUCUAGACUAAUCUGAUGGUUCAGAAUCGAGAAGAACACCAGUCCAGGACAUGAACACUACUGGAGAACAGCACUACCUUCUUUGAAAGUGAAAUACUGGACAUGUUUUGUUUCAAGUCACAACUGGGCAAAGUUCCCAUACAGUUGAGAGAGAUUUGGGGAAAACAAUAGUUAAGGUGCAGGACCCAUCUAUGGGGUACAAUAUUUAAGCAUGAUCUCUAUUUGGUAGAGAUCCAAGUGCAGCCACAUUAGGGUUACAGUGCAAAAUCUGCCCUUCAGAGGGCUGAGGUUAGGAAUGUAAACUGACAGCACAAGUCAUCUUGGUCUGUCUGCUGCCUUCAGUGUCUCUGUUCAGGUAACAACAUUUAUUUGUUGUUGUCCACACUUGAAAAAAUGUUAUGUAGAGCCACUACAUUUGAGCACAAGCACAGGGAUUUUGAAAAUUAAUGUAACUAAAGUUUUAGAUUUUUAAAAAAUAAUGUGUAGGCUCAUUAUUAUAGACACACUGUACCCUGUUUUCUCUCCAUCAGAGAAAAUCAGUGAGAAGAUCAAGUAACUGUUGAAACAGUGAUCAGUGUAAAUUCAGAGUUCAGGAAUCAUGAUUCUUUUUUUGUAACUAAAGCUUUAGGACAGAACGGCUGUGAAAUUAAUAUAAAAUAUUUGUAAUACUUAUCAGUGUUUAUUUUUGCAAAGGCUUGGAUUUUAUUUGUGGCCAAAUUCAUAAUUUAAAACAUUUUAAAGCUUUUAAAACCAUGUAAUACAGGCUCUGUAUGUCAUAAGCUUGAAUUAUACACACCUAGAAGCAUUCCUCAUGGUACAUGAAUCUGUUCACAGAUGAUGAUGAAGUGUGUCAGCUUGCAAGACCAGCUAAACCUUCACCAAAAUUUGGACAAGGUUCUAAAGAAUCCUGGUAAAAUGCAGUAAAGGAUUUAAGGUUAUCGUCUGUCUCUCUCUAACUUCUGACAUCUCUUUAUAACAAGAAAGAGUCACAGCCAACUGUAACAGGAGGGCAACACAAUGAAUCCUGGUGCUGAAGACCCCGUGGAUCCUCCAGUUAUGCCCAGUUAUGUCUGAUGUCUUGUUGAAAGUCACGGUGCAGCAGCAGAUGCCGGUGAAGGAAAGGCACCUACAGUGGGGCUGUUUGAAUAACAAGCUUGUUCUAGGAGGAAUAUGUACAUGUGGCAGCAGCACUCGGGACAUGAAGAGCUACUUUGAAACCAGAUGUGGUUCCUGGUGUUUGAGUGAACCAGCAGGAAGGAACACAAGCGAGACCUGAAAACCAUUGGGCAAAGGAGUGUUCUGUCAGCUGCAGGACCACCCGCACAGGCAAGUGCACACAGAGUGAUAAAUGGGAGCUUGUGCGGGGCUCGUGCUGUACUGGGAGAGCUAACUGGGCUGGGAAGGUAAGCUUUUGCCUUCCAAACUGACUGAUGUAAAUGAUAGUUGAGAGUGUUACACAAGUGGUCAGGUUCGUUACACUCUGCCUCAUGUUGUCAGAGGGUUUUGCUCACUGCACUGCCCUGUGAAGUACAGCAGUAAAAGCCUGUGACAGGAGGGAAAGAAAGUGUGAACCAGUGCUAGCAGUAGAUUAAAACAGUGGCACACAAACACAUUCUUCCUGAGUGGUAACCUUGAGUGAGAGCUAAUUCACUGGAUUGAUUUUAUUCAGCUUGUCCAUGAGAAAAUAAAGCACGGCAGCAUUGACUGCAACUGGUCAAAACUGCUUGUGAGCUUCAAUGAUCUUUAUGGUGUUUAUUUCAGCUUCCAGGUCCUUAAAGGUAUUGACAAAGUUAAGAUGUAGUAUUACAAAGUCUUCUUAUUGGUAAAAGGGCAUUGGCAAAAGGCAGACUCUAGAUGGAUCUAAUAAUGUAUUGUUAGUCCAAUUAAUGUUUUUAAAUCGUCGAAUAGUCACAUUUGCUUAAUGAAUACAGGAAGACCUCAUUAAAAAUAGAGUUAAAAUUGCUACACAAAAUUUUCCCUCUUCUCUAACUCCUCCAGUGCUCCUUUGAGUCUGAGGACUGACACUUUGGUAUUUCUCCAAAGGAAUGGGGGAGUAUUACGAUGACUCAUCACCGGGAGGAGUGUUCAUGGGAGGGUAUGUCUUCCUCCUCAGUCUGGUGUCUGCUUGGAUUUCAUUUUGUAUGUUUUCUUAACACUAUCAGCCUACUGUGAUUAAAUGACUGCUUUUAUAUCAUCUGUGUCUGCACUCUUCCCUGUGACUCAACUCUAGAGCCAUAGGCAGGUCAGUCCACAGCGAAUAACCAUUUGGUAUUAUGAUAGACUAAACCAAAUCUUGUCAAGAGUACCUCACAGCUGGAGGUACACAUUGCUAUCACAGCUAAAACAAAUUAAAAUGUACUUACCCCCAGACAAACCCAGGGAAUUGCUGACUGCACUGUCAUGUCAAUAAAAACCUUGUUGCAUUUUACUAACAAUGCCAGAAAUCACAUUUACUGGGCUGUUAAGUCCAUUUGGAUAGUCUGUGACUUGCAGAGUUCAGCAAGGAUUUGCAGACUCUGACUGCAGAACCAUGACUGAGCAGCAGAUCUUGGAAGCAUUCACACUUUCCUGUCUUCUUUUGCAUCAGGAUAAUCUAUAUAGGUGUGACUGACCUGUAUUUCUUCAUGGCCAUCAGGAGACCAGCUAAGAAAAGUGUUUGGUUUUCAUCGCCAGUAUAAUUUGCAUAAUCAGCAGGAAUACUGUGAUUAUUAAAAUUAGAGCUGUAGGUUUUAGAGCUAAGUUAAAAAUUCACAUAGCUGGAGGAGACCAUAGUGUAGCCUAGAAGGGUCGAGCUAAGGUAACAGCACACACACAGACACACAUGCUCACUCUAUCAGGCAGGUCUUACACGUGAGGUAAUUCACAAUAAUUUCUGGAAUUGAGUUGGUACACAAACACAACUAGAUCCUCUAUAUAUGAUUAGAGAUUGAUUAGCAACAGGAGGAGAAAUGUCACAGUCAUAUCUGGUUAACUUUUAAGCUAAGCAAUCAUCUAAAGACUGGAAACUAAUAUCUUCACGUAUCCAUUACAUAUUUCAAUGUUAUUUGCUGGCAUUCUUCUGAAAAGACUCCUUAGAGUAUGCCAUUUUCUUUGGCAGUUUGUGUUUGCAGAUGCACAUCUUUAAUCUCAGAAACUCUUGCUAUACAUUGCUAAAAUUAUCUGAUCAGCUUCUUGGUAACUUUUCUAUCAAUUUGAUAAUGACUUCAUAUCUCACAUAUGCGCAGAGCUUCCACCAUGUGCUGAAGUCAGGAUGUUUUAAAAUACCUCCAAUACAAUAGUAAACAAAUGGUGCAUUUAUUUAAAAAAAAACACAUGAUUUUUCCAUAGCAAAACUUAAUUUAUACCUUGUUGAUCUAUCUUUGCUUCUAUGUUUUAUAACCACUGGCAGUGUUAACCAUACUGGUUGACACAGAUGACAAAUCAUUCCAGCAAAGGAAAUGGAGCUGUAUUUACAGGUGUAACAGAAUUUAGUACAAAAGAUGCUGUUCCCAAAAGAUUUUUGAAGUGUUUCAGAAGUUUGUAUAAAGAAAACCAAGCAAGCCAUUGGACAGUAGGUCCUGCCUCAGUGUUUCUUGUGGACAAAGACUAGAAGGAGCCCUUAGCAAGCAUCUUGCUAUUACACUUGCCCAUGACAUCUAGUGCAGCUGCACGUAGUGUGUGAGAACAUCUGUAGCAUCACGACACAUAUAGAAACCUCCACCCCAGGAGAAUGACAUUAUAGUGGAAACAAUUUAGAUGUAAAAGCAAUAUAAAUCUACAUGUUAUAUAAUCUUUCUCCACUUUCUCCACCCCUUUCUUUUUUGACUUUUGUUAACUAAAGGGUUCUAUUACUACUUCAGUAAAAAAAAAAAAAAAAAAAAUCACAAUAAAAGCGUGACUAAGCAUUUCAGGAUUGUCCCCUUCUUUGAUUAACAGCUAGGCUGCAAAUGUCUCUUUCCCAAAGAAGCAGAAGGGUUAAGAAAGAACAACCAGGUGCAGAAAUGCACUAGACACCAGAGCUUACCGCAGUGGAACUUGACACUUUUUUUGCCGAAGCAAUUUAACUCUUCAGAAAUCAAGGGGUGAUUUUCUGUGUCUCUUUAUCUUCUGUGGUUGUUCAGUUCAAAUUGAGCAGUAGCACUGCUACCAGUCUUUACUUAACUCAUGUAAAUGACAGUACAAAGUAUAGAGAUAUGGAAAAUAUGUCUAAAAUGUAUAGAUUUCUAAAGCAAGGUGAAUCUCCUUGUCUGGAAUGGUGUGAGUCCCCAUAGCUUGCCAUUCAAAUGUGGCUAUUGUGAAAUUGGUAUAAGUUCUUUUUAAGCUCCACACUGUCACAAGGAACUGUGCCUUUUCCAAAAAAAAUCCUUGAAAGCUUUUAUUUUCCCCAAAAGUGUUUUCUUCCUUUUUUCUAAAUAUUCUACAGUUUUCUCUCUGAAAUAGUUUCUUUACAAUCUUUACAGUAAGUAAAGACAUUUUCCAGUGGUAAUACAAGCACCGAGUUUUGUGUAAGUCUGAUGAUUUUUAAAGACUGUGUGAUGAUAACACAAGGCAAACACCUACUGUUAAUGCCUGGAUCAUCACUGACUUGUUUCUUUGGAAAUAUAUUACUUUCAGUCAUUAGAACAGCUCAUGCAUGACAACUACAUGAACCUUCAAGAGCAUUUCCACAUCCUUUUUGCAGACUGCAGGGCAAGCCUGAAGAUAGAAAAAACAGCCAGAUGGGUCAUAAUUUUCCAUUAAAUUCCUUCAAACUAUCGCUAAAAACACAACCCUUGCAAGAGAUUUCAUUAAUGAUGUUAUUAAUAACACACAUUUUGAGUUUAAUGACUUGCUGAUAGUAUUUGAUCAUGUCCUUUGAACUCUGCCUCAUUGACCAUCUGAACAAAGCCUUGUUUUCCUAUUCCAGAGGGACAUACUUUGCGUAAAUGAGAAGGUUUUUAAAGUGCUCUGGUGAUAGAAAAGAUAUGCAAGUACAACUAAUAUCACCUGACAACAUUUGCUUACUAUUAAGGGUAUAUUUAUCUCUUAAUUAAAUUAGAUAUGAUUUCUCAUUUAAUAAUGCAAUGAUGUUUAACAUCCACUUCCUGUUUGCAUGUUCGGUAACUGCUUGUGCAGGAUACAUAAUCAUGUGCAUCACCACCGCAGGAAGGAAUAUCACACGCAGUUAUGGAGUCUGCUUUUGUUAACAUCUCAGUUUCCCUGACUUUCU